rnacentral:lncRNA from 1 species
UGAGAUCCCAGGUUAUGUAUUCUUUUGGAGGGGGGUGAAGAAGAUGAAUAAAAGUUCAUCAGACCUGAAGAGACAACCUAGACUAGCAGUGAGCCGUGGUGGAAAGACGCCAGAGGUCAGAUGUUGGGAAGGGCCUCAAAGUGCUCAGCAGAGUUUGGGAGAGAAGCUCAGACCUCCCCUUAUUGGACACCAAAUGUAAGGUCAGACCGAGGCACGAUUGAGACCACCGAGCAAGGUCCGUUAUGGUUUCUAUGUGAAGGGCCCCCCCGAACAUGCAGGCAUUGAGGGCUCGCUCCCCAGUGCAGCCAUCUUCAGCAGUGGGCCCCAGGGAGGUGACUGGAUCAUGAGGGGCUGACCUCGCCAGUGGACUGAUCCACAGAAGAGGUUGUUUUUUUUCAGAUAAGAGGAAGAAAUGAAAUAAGCAAGCCCAGUUGAUUCUUCCCAAAUUUACCCAUCUGAUAAGCAGCCCCAUCAAUAUGCCAGGGGUGAAGUAAAUAGAGAGAUCUGGGGGUGCUACCAGGGGAACCCCCAGCUCCCAGGAGUGAAGAUGCUGCUGCUUGCUUAAAGAGGAUUCACAUGACUCUGAUGAAGUGGGCAGCCCGCAGUGAAGACCAGCAGGCAGGAGGGACCCUGGGACUGGCUGCUUCUCCUGCCUCUUUGCUGUGAAAGGACACUUACUGGGAGGGAUGCAGGUGGCCAGCUAAGCACCUCUGCAGUGCUGAGGCUCCACAUGGGAGAUAGGAAUGCUAAGAAUAUUAGCCUGGGCUGUCGGCAAUUACUGGGCUGGGAACUAACUGCCACUGCAGCUUGGAUAUUAAAGAAAUAAUGUCUCCUUUUGUUCUUCAAGAUGGCAAAAUACGGUUUAGGUUUAUAGAUGUGUACCUUGGAAUCACUUUACUCACUCACUCUUUGGAUUACACACCUUUUUUGUGUUUUUGAUACAAGUGCUAAGUUGCAAAUUGUCCAGGUUGGCAUUGAACAUGGGAUAUUCCUGCCCCAGCCUCCUGAGUAUUCCUGGGAUUCCAGGUCUGCACCACCACAACAGGCUUAGCAUAUGAAGUGUUGUACUCUUUUUUUUAAAGGUUCUUGCCACUUUCUUUUUUUACAAUUAAAUUUAUUGGUACAUUUUAGGUAUAUAUAGUGAUCACAUCCAUCAUAGGGAAUUUGUGCCUGUACUAGUAUAUCUUGAUUCUUCAUUUUCUCCACUCCCUUCCCUGAAGCCACCUUCACUUCCUUAUUUACAAAAGCUUUGUUCCCAUUAUUUCCAUCUAUUUUCUUUUCCCUUCCUUCCUUUCCCCCUCACCCCUCCCUUUUUCCCCUUCCCAUUUGAACAUUUUCUUCCUAUUUCACAAUAUCUAUUUUAUAUUUUGGUCCUUAUUUACACUUUCAGUUUCUCACACCAGAGAAACAAUGUGAUAUUUAAACACAUGGGUCCGAUUUAUUUCACUUAAGAGUAUGGUCUCAAGGUGCAUCCAUUUAGGUAUAAAUGUCUAAAGUUUACCUUUCUUUAUGGCUGAAUAGUACUGCAUUGUAUAAUGGGGAAAAAAUAGGAAUCAAGAUACAUCAUGUACAGGUACAAACACCCA